AGGGUUCGAUUCUGGCUCAGGAUGAACGCUGGCGGCGUGCUUAACACAUGCAAGUCGAACGGGAUCCAUCAAGCUUGCUUGGUGGUGAGAGUGGCGAACGGGUGAGUAAUGCGUGACCGACCUGCCCCAUACACCGGAAUAGCUCCUGGAAACGGGUGGUAAUGCCGGAUGCUCCAGUUGAUCGCAUGGUCUUCUGGGAAAGCUUUCGCGGUAUGGGAUGGGGUCGCGUCCUAUCAGGUAGUCGGCGGGGUAACGGCCCACCGAGCCUACGACGGGUAGCCGGCCUGAGAGGGCGACCGGCCACAUUGGGACUGAGAUACGGCCCAGACUCCUACGGGAGGCAGCAGUGGGGAAUAUUGCACAAUGGGCGCAAGCCUGAUGCAGCGACGCCGCGUGAGGGAUGGAGGCCUUCGGGUUGUAAACCUCUUUUAUCGGGGAGCAAGCGAGAGUGAGUUUACCCGUUGAAUAAGCACCGGCUAACUACGUGCCAGCAGCCGCGGUAAUACGUAGGGUGCAAGCGUUAUCCGGAAUUAUUGGGCGUAAAGGGCUCGUAGGCGGUUCGUCGCGUCCGGUGUGAAAGUCCAUCGCUUAACGGUGGAUCCGCGCCGGGUACGGGCGGGCUUGAGUGCGGUAGGGGAGACUGGAAUUCCCGGUGUAACGGUGGAAUGUGUAGAUAUCGGGAAGAACACCAAUGGCGAAGGCAGGUCUCUGGGCCGUUACUGACGCUGAGGAGCGAAAGCGUGGGGAGCGAACAGGAUUAGAUACCCUGGUAGUCCACGCCGUAAACGGUGGAUGCUGGAUGUGGGGCCCGUUCCACGGGUUCCGUGUCGGAGCUAACGCGUUAAGCAUCCCGCCUGGGGAGUACGGCCGCAAGGCUAAAACUCAAAGAAAUUGACGGGGGCCCGCACAAGCGGCGGAGCAUGCGGAUUAAUUCGAUGCAACGCGAAGAACCUUACCUGGGCUUGACAUGUUCCCGACAGCCGUAGAGAUACGGCCUCCCUUCGGGGCGGGUUCACAGGUGGUGC
rnacentral:rRNA from 1 species